CUUCAUGCUCUGCUUCCUGGAUGCCAUGACUUGAACAUGUUUCCUCUGAUGGUCUUUCUAUCACGAUGUUUCUGCCUGAAGCUUGCCAUCUAUACAAGAAAAUAAGCCUCUCCUUCUUUAAUCUAUCAGAGCUGGCUGCCACUGGACACCCCAUGUCCCUUCUGGAGGCUUCCUCUGUCACCUACUGCCACUAAUCCUACCGGAGGGUCUUCUAUCCAGCCUGUCCGUACUGGACACUCUACUGUCUGUGGAAUUUAUCGCUCAUACUCCUGCCUGCUACCUCUAGCACGCGUCAUUAUGCCUAUAUCUCCAAAGCGUCGACGCCUCAAUCAUGAAGUCCAGGGCUCAUCUGAGAAAAGAGAUGCGUAUUCACAAUUUCCCCCAACUGAGAGAGAGGAUGAGGAGAAUUCUGUUUCCUCUACCUCUUUCAACUUCAACUUUUCCCCUCCCUCCUUAUCCUGUUCUUCCUCCUCCUCUUCCUCGGGCUCCAACACGCCUACUUCCUCUUCCCCACCCAAUACUUCCCCUUCCACCCCCAUUCUGACUCCAGAAGUUUCAGAAGAGGAGGAGGUGCCUGCUACAGUGGCCCAAACUACUAGCAAGAGUCCUUCCCAGAGUCCUCAGGACUCUCCUUCUGGGAGUAAAUCUGAUGAAAAAUCCAAUAAGCAUGGAGAAGAGGAGGGGUCAAGCACCCUGAAGUCUUAUAAGGACAGCAAGUCCUCCGACUGAGAGCUACGAGAUGCUAAAAUGCCUGGAUUGCGCAUGCCACCAUGCUAAAGUAUCCACUGAAGUAGCCCCUUAUAGAAGUGAAAAUAAUUGUCAUCGAUGCUGUCACGUGAACCAGUUCCUGUGAUCUCUGUGGCAGCUUCUGAGUUAUUGGUAGUGAUACCUGGCCUAGAAAGGAAGACAUGGACCCUUCCAUCUACUCCUAUGCCCUUGUCAACUUACUAUAACUCCCUGUGAUAUGAUGGCGAGUAAUGCACACAGCUAGCUAGAAGCAGUUUCCUGAUAAAUAUCUCGGUACCUGGAAAUUCCUGGAUACAAUGGGAGGAUGCUCUUCGUCAAUGGGGAGCCUAGAAAGUUCAUGACCAGAGCCUGGGUGCAGAAAAUUACCUGGAGCAUCAGUAGGUACCUAAGAGCAAUGUUUUGCACAAGUGUUUCUCGUGGGCUCCAAGAAAACGGGCCGAAAACAUUAGGAUGAGCUUCCUGCAAUUUUGGGCCCAGAAACUACACUUCUUCCUAAAGCUACUCUGAGGAGACUUUGAGACAUGAGGUCAAGGGCAGUCAGAAUCCUAAGCAAUGUCUGGUUGUAGAGAUCACAGUACACAGCAACUUCAUAUUCCUGCUCUAAAUAAGUGAUCUGGCAAUUUCUUUUAAUUAAAAAAAUUAAUUGAAAGGUUAAUCAUCUUUAGAAUUUAAGUUGUUUCUUUUUAACUAACAUUAUUAACAUACUUAUACUUUUUCAGGUUUAAGAAUAAAACUUUUUUAUUUUAUUGAGUUUAUUGGUACAUU